UUACGGUCACAUCAAGGUGAAACAUUGGUUUCCAUACGAUCACCGAAGUUAAGAUAUUUCGAGCCUGGUCAGUAACUUGAUGGGUGACCGCUUGGGAAUACCAGGGACUGUA